CCUACGGGUGGCAGCAGUGGGGAAUAUUGGACAAUGGGCGAAAGCCUGAUCCAGCCAUGCCGCAUGUGUGAAGAAGGCCUUCGGGUUGUAAAGCACUUUCAGUGGGGAAGAAAGCCUUGGGGCUAAUACCCUCGAGGAAGGACAUCACCCACAGAAGAAGCACCGGCUAACUCCGUGCCAGCAGCCGCGGUAAUACGGAGGGUGCGAGCGUUAAUCGGAAUUACUGGGCGUAAAGCGCGCGUAGGCGGUCUGAUAAGCCGGUUGUGAAAGCCCCGGGCUCAACCUGGGAACGGCAGCCGGAACUGUCAGGCUAGAGUGCAGGAGAGGAAGGUAGAAUUCCCGGUGUAGCGGUGAAAUGCGUAGAGAUCGGGAGGAAUACCAGUGGCGAAGGCGGCCUUCUGGACUGACACUGACGCUGAGGUGCGAAAGCGUGGGUAGCAAACAGGAUUAGAUACCCCUGUAGUC
rnacentral:rRNA from 1 species